rnacentral:lncRNA from 1 species
GUGAAGAGUAUGAACCCCUAUUAAAACCCUCAAAAUCUAGGGUUAGGUAAAUGUACCCUGCUUCUCCUCUUUCUCGGACGGUUCUCUGUGUGGAUUUUGAUCUGGAAUUUAGAUUUAUGUAAUCUGCAUAAGGGUAAGUGGAAAAGAACUGCAAUGAAGAUCUGUUGACUAUGAUUGCGGAAUUUAUACCGCAACAUGUAUUCCAUUAUAUGGUUCGUAUUCACUGAGCAUUCUCUCUUUCCCUCUCUAAUUUCUCUUUCAAUGGUAUGAUCCAUAAAUAUGAUGAUAAAGAACCGAAGGACCUAUGGACGAGAGGCGAUAAAUUGAUGCCGACUCUGUCAAGUUUACCUUCGAAUAUUUAUUUUUGAAGUUUGAUCGCCGAAUCGGAUACCUUGUUCCGAUUAGGUUCUCCAAAAUUUCAAACAUUUCUCUUAUUAAUUUCAUAUAUUUUCUAAAUAAUUUUUGUUGAUGAUAAGGUGCGAAGGUCCCUGCGGAGGGAAAAAACUCCAUGAUGAGAUCACUCUAACACUAAGAAUUAAUACCUUGCAAAUUGAUUAUUGGGCGAGUCGUAAGAUGCCUCAAAUUUUUCUUAAAUCUUGAUGCGUCUGGGAACCCUGGGCUAUAUGAAAUUAUUCAUUUUUCUAAUUUGUCUCUUCAUAAUUUUGUUAUUUGUACCAUUUUCCCAAUUGCUGCCGAUGAAAGAUGCUCAUGAAUUCAGGUUUUUUUUUUUUUUUUUUUUUUCUUGGGAUUUAUACGGACAAGUGAUAUUCUAUUUUUAAUUAUUUAUUGUUAAAUUGAAUGUUAAUUUUCUGUAAAAUAUCUUAUUGUAGGAAAAAUUUUAAGUUGCAUACAAUGGCUGUGGAAAAGGUGUUUUUGAGCUAAUCUGGCGUAGGUUCAGGGCCAUUAAAGCCUAAUUGGAUGGCACGGUUUAAUUAGAAGUUUAGUAUUGAGGGUAAAAUUUAACUUUUAGAAGUUUGAUGAUUACGUUGUGAACUUUUGGAAUUUGAGAUGGACCAAUUUAGAAUGGUUAUUAAGUUUUGAGGACUAAUAUUGAAG